UACGGGGGGGGCAAGCGUUGUUCGGAAUUACUGGGCGUAAAGGGCUCGUAGGCGGCCAACUAAGUCAGACGUGAAAUCCCCAGGCUCAACCUGGGAACUGCGUCUGAUACUGGAUGGCUUGAAUCCGGGAGAGGGAUGCAGAAUUCCAGGUGUAGCGGUGAAAUGCGUAGAGAUCCGGAGGAACACCAGAGGCGAAGGCGGCCUACUGGGCUGCACCUGACGCUGAGCCGCGAAAGCCAGGGGAGCGAACGGG
rnacentral:rRNA from 1 species